AAGUCGUAACAAGGUAACCGUAGGUGAACCUGCGGUUGGAUCAUUAGUGUAAAAUAAAAGACUUUGGUCUUUUUAAAUCUUGGAUGGAUAACUCUUUAUGAGUUGGAAAUCCUUUACACCCCUUGUGAACUGUUUAUUGUACUUGUCUUUGGUAUAAAUGACUAAUUGUUUUUAGUCUUUAUGCCUUUGACUUUUUUAAACAUUGUAUUUUCUUUAUGGUUUUUCAUUCUUCAUAAUAAUGAAAUUUUGAAACAACUUUUGACAACGGAUCUCUUGGCUCUCGUAACGAUGAAGAACCAGC
rnacentral:misc_RNA from 1 species